CACAGCCAAUCACAGGCCCUCUCCUUGUCCGGGCCCCGGGGCUUCAGCCCCGCCUAGCCCAACGGUUAAUGCGGCCCUGUGUAUAUGUGGCAUUUUUACAUUAA